GAUGAACGCUGGCGGCGUGCCUAAUACAUGCAAGUCGAGCGAACAGACGAGGAGCUUGCUCCUCUGACGUUAGCGGCGGACGGGUGAGUAACACGUGGAUAACCUACCUAUAAGACUGGUAUAACUUCGGGAAACCGGAGCUAAUACCGGAUAAUAUAUUGAACCGCAUGGUUCAAUAGUGAAAGACGGUUUUGCUGUCACUUAUAGAUGGAUCCGCGCCGCAUUAGCUAGUUGGUAAGGUAACGGCUUACCAAGGCAACGAUGCGUAGCCGACCUGAGAGGGUGAUCGGCCACACUGGAACUGAGACACGGUCCAGACUCCUAAGGGAGGCAGCAGUAGGGAACCUUCGGCAAUGGGCGAAAGCCUGACGGAGCAACGCCGCGUGAGUGAUGAAGGUCUUCGGAUCGUAAAACUCUGUUAUUAGGGAAGAACAAAUGUGUAAGUAACUAUGCACGUCUUGACGGUACCUAAUCAGAAAGCCACGGCUAACUACGUG
rnacentral:rRNA from 1 species